UACGUAGGGGGCAAGCGUUGUCCGGAUUUAUUGGGCGUAAAGAGCGUGUAGGCGGCCAGGUAGGUCUGCUGUGAAAACUCGAGGCUCAACCUCGAGACGUCGAUGGAAACCAUCUGGCUAGAGUCCGGAAGAGGAGAGUGGAAUUCCUGGUGUAGCGGUGAAAUGCGCAGAUAUCAGGAAGAACACCCGUGGCGAAGGCGGCUCUCUGGUACGUGACUGACGCUGAGACGCGAAAGCGUGGGGAGCGAACAGG
rnacentral:rRNA from 1 species